UACGUAGGGGGCGAGCGUUGUCCGGAUUCAUUGGGCGUAAAGAGCUCGUAGGCGGUUCAGCAAGUCGGGUGUGAAACCUCCAGGCUCAACCUGGAGACGCCACCCGAUACUGCUGUGACUUGAGUCCGGUAGGGGACCACGGAAUUCCUGGUGUAGCGGUGAAAUGCGCAGAUAUCAGGAGGAACACCGGUGGCGAAGGCGGUGGUCUGGGCCGGCACUGACGCUGAGGAGCGAAAGCGUGGGGAGCAAACAGG
rnacentral:rRNA from 1 species